UCGGGAAUAUUGCGCAAUGGAGGAAACUCUGACGCAGUGACGCCGCGUAUAGGAAGAAGGUUUUCGGAUUGUAAACUAUUGUCGUUAGGGAAGAUACAAGACAGUACCUAAGGAGGAAGCACCGGCUAACUAUGUGCCAGCAGCCGCGGUAAUACAUAGGGUGCGAGCGUUAUCCGGAAUUAUUGGGUGUAAAGGGUGCGUAGAUGGGAAGACAAGUUAGUUGUGAAAAUCCCCUCGGCUCAACUGAGGAACUGCAACUAAAACUAUCUUUCUUGAGUGUCGGAGAGGAAAGUGGAAUUCCUAGUGUAGCGGUGAAAUGCGUAGAUAUUAGGAGGAACACCAGUGGCGAAGGCGACUUUCUGGACGAUAACUGACGUUGAGGCACGAAAGUGUGGGGAGCAAACAGGAUUAGAUACC
rnacentral:rRNA from 1 species